UACGUAGGUGGCAAGCGUUGUCCGGAUUUACUGGGCGUAAAGGGCUUGUAGGCGGUUCGUUAAGUCUGUUGUGAAAUCUCCCGGCUCAACUGGGAGGGGCCAUCGGAUACUGGCGAGCUAGAGGUGGGCAGAGGAAAGCGGAAUUCCCGGUGUAGCGGUGAAAUGCGUAGAUAUCCGGAGGAAUACCAAAGGCGAAGGCAGUGUCCUGGCUGGCAUCUGACGCUGAGGCGCGAAAGCUAGGGGAGCGAACAGG
rnacentral:rRNA from 1 species